rnacentral:rRNA from 2 species
AAGCAGCGGAGCAUGUGGUUUAAUUCGAAGCAACGCGAAGAACCUUACCAGGGCUUGACAUCCCUCUGACAGUCCCUUAACCGGGACCUUCUUCGGACAGAGAAGACAGGUGGUGCAUGGUUGUCGUCAGCUCGUGUCGUGAGAUGUUGGGUUAAGUCCCGCAACGAGCGCAACCCUUGUCUUUAGUUGCCAUCAUUCAGUUGGGCACUCUAGAGAGACUGCCGAGGACAACUCGGAGGAAGGUGGGGAUGACGUCAAAUCAUCAUGCCCCUUAUGUCCUGGGCUACACACGUGCUACAAUGGCUGGUACAAAGAGACGCAAGACCGCGAGGUGGAGCAAAUCUCAAAAACCAGUCCCAGUUCGGAUUGCAGGCUGCAACUCGCCUGCAUGAAGUCGGAGUUGCUAGUAAUCGCAGAUCAGAAUGCUGCGGUGAAUGCGUUCCCGGGUCUU